rnacentral:lncRNA from 1 species
GUGUGUGUGGCUGUCUCAGCCCUUUCAUCAUGGGUCACAGAGCAAUUCACUUCCUCUGCAAGAUGGGAACAGCGGUAAUACCUCACCCCUUGGUUGUGCAGCAGCACAUUCCCUGGCUUUGCCGAGUAGUUUUGAGUUACCCAAAACGACAAGGAGAGUCCUCAGCCAGGCUUGUCUCAGGGUGGGGUGUGUGUGUGGGGGAAAUGGCCAGCACACAAACAAGGUUUAUAAUCCUGGUCACCAUGAGCCAAGAUAUGAAAUAUCCAAAAUAGGCAAAUCUAUAGAGACAGAUUGGUGGUUGCUUAGGGACAGAGGUGGGGUGGGGAAAUAGGGGGAUGUUGGCCAGAGGGUGAGAGGUUUAUUUCUGAAGUGAUAAAAGUUUUCUAACAUUGACUGUAGUGAUGGUUGCACAUAUCUGUGAGUAUACUAAAGAUCACCGAACUGUGCCUUUUAAAUGGGUGUAUUGUAUGGUAUAAGAAUUCUAUCUCAAUUAAACUGUCGGAAAAAGUGAAGAGAGAGAACAUCUGA